ACGCUGGCGGCAGGCCUAACACAUGCAAGUCGAGCGGUAGAGAGAAGCUUGCUUCUCUUGAGAGCGGCGGACGGGUGAGUAAUGCCUAGGAAUCUGCCUGGUAGUGGGGGAUAACGUUCGGAAACGGACGCUAAUACCGCAUACGUCCUACGGGAGAAAGCAGGGGACCUUCGGGCCUUGCGCUAUCAGAUGAGCCUAGGUCGGAUUAGCUAGUUGGUGAGGUAAUGGCUCACCAAGGCGACGAUCCGUAACUGGUCUGAGAGGAUGAUCAGUCACACUGGAACUGAGACACGGUCCAGACUCCUACGGGAGGCAGCAGUGGGGAAUAUUGGACAAUGGGCGAAAGCCUGAUCCAGCCAUGCCGCGUGUGUGAAGAAGGUCUUCGGAUUGUAAAGCACUUUAAGUUGGGAGGAAGGGCAGUUACCUAAUACGUGAUUGUUUUGACGUUACCGACAGAAUAAGCACCGGCUAACUCUGUGCCAGCAGCCGCGGUAAUACAGAGGGUGCAAGCGUUAAUCGGAAUUACUGGGCGUAAAGCGCGCGUAGGUGGUUUGUUAAGUUGGAUGUGAAAUCCCCGGGCUCAACCUGGGAACUGCAUUCAAAACUGACUGACUAGAGUAUGGUAGAGGGUGGUGGAAUUUCCUGUGUAGCGGUGAAAUGCGUAGAUAUAGGAAGGAACACCAGUGGCGAAGGCGACCACCUGGACUGAUACUGACACUGAGGUGCGAAAGUGUGGGGAGCAAAC
rnacentral:rRNA from 1 species